rnacentral:rRNA from 2 species
GGGUUGUGAGGUUAAGCGACUAAGCGUACACGGUGGAUGCCCUGGCAGUCAGAGGCGAUGAAGGACGUGCUAAUCUGCGAUAAGCGUCGGUAAGGUGAUAUGAACCGUUAUAACCGGCGAUUUCCGAAUGGGGAAACCCAGUGUGUUUCGACACACUAUCAUUAACUGAAUCC